GAUGAACGCUGGCGGCGUGCCUAAUACAUGCAAGUCGAACGAACAGACGAGGAUCUUGCUCCUCUGACGUUAGCCGCGGGCGGGUGAAUAACACGUGGAAAACGUCCCUAUAAUACUGAUAUCACUUGGAAAACCCGGCUCUAAUACCGGAGAAUCUCUUGCACCACGGUGUGCGAUGGUGAAAGACGGUUUUUCGGUCACUUAUAGCUGGAUCCGCGCCUGAUGAGCUAGUUGGUAAGGUCACGGCUUACCAAGGCAACGAUGCGUGACCGACCGGACGGGGGGAUCGGCCACCUGGGAAGGGAGCCACGGUCCAGACGCCUACGGGAGGCAGCAGUAGCGAAUCUUCCGCAAUGGGCGAGAGUCUUACGGAGUAACGCCGCGUGAGUGAUGAAGGCCCCCGGAUCGUAAAACCGUGUUACUAGGGAAGAACAAAUGUCUAAUGAACUAUGCACGUCUUGACGGUACCUAAUCAGAAAGCCACGGCUAACUACGUG
rnacentral:rRNA from 1 species